rnacentral:lncRNA from 1 species
UUCAUAGUGCCGUUGAAGGAAAUCUCGGAAGCAUGGGUGAAGUGGAGACAGUUUCCAAGUUGAAAAUCAAACGUUGCCCUUUCAACCUUGGAUCGUGGCCGCACGAAUCGGAAGUUGGGCGCCUCCGCACUGCUGGAUUUUUGAACGUUGUAGAUCGUUACGAGAGGAGUGGGAGGUUGACUCCUUCCUUCACGCUGGUCUUCCCUCUUCUGCGGCGACAACCUUGAACCCACUAGGGUUUGAAGAGGCGGCACCCUUGGGGGUUCUCCAUCUAUAAAUACCGCUUUCCCCUCUUCAGAAAACACAUCUCUCACCCAUUCUCUUCAUCUCCUUCACCCACCGUGAAUCACUUCUUCUUCCUCCCACCUUUUGAUUUUUCUCUUUCUUCAUUUAUUAUAAUAUUUUAUUCAUUUUUAUGAGAUAUUGGGUUCAUACUCCUUUUAAAGAGUUGCUUGCUAGUUCUGAUCCUCGGAAAUUACCGGAAAUUUCCUGUUGUAUCCUGGGGAACUGGCGGAAUACACCGCGGAUAAGUCUUUACGGACAAUGAUUACUCACUCCUCGGGAAAUUACUUUUUGUUCGUUUUAAAGCCCUUUUAACUACAAUCGUAAGGACUUAUGGCUGAAAAUCCGAACAACAACUGUUGGGUUUAAUAGUGUCAAAGUUCAAGAGGGGGGUGAAUUGACCUUUUAAAACUUUCUCGCAGAAACAGUGUUUAACACAGUUUACAGAAAAUAAAUCGAUUUAUGUGAAAAUGAACAGAUUUAUUUCAGCACUGUUUUUGUUUGAAAAGCGUUUAUACAGCAAGGUUAAUCACAAGAUUAUGCAGAUAGAUUUUCCAGAUGCACACACACUGAUAUUAGAACGAAAACCAGUGAAACACACAACAACAAACUUCAAUUUCAAGCAAGUGAUUAAGGUUGGAUUGAUAGCAUGCCAAUUAAUUGAGUAACCUUUACAAACAACCUGUUCCAGUGAAUUUUAACAAAUUAUAAGUGUUCUUCUUGAAACACACAGUUUUCCAGAAAUUAAGAACAGUGAAUCACAGAACAGCAAGCUUCAAUUUUAAGCAAUUGUUUAAGGUUCAAUUACUAGCUUUGACAAUUUCUUGAGCAACCUAUCACAAUCAAUCUGUUCCAGUAGCUUUUAACAAAUUUUAUAUGUUCUUAUCUGACCCAAACAACUUUUCCAGAAAUUAAGAACAGGAUGACACGAGCCCAGAAAAAACAGAUUUAUUAAUGAAUGAACAGAUUUAUUUCUUUGCUGUUUUAUCAAUUAUGCAGAAACUUAAUUGCAGAGAUUGAGAGAGAAUGAACACAAGGCAGUUAUACUGGUUCACUCAACUGAGCUACAUCCAGUUUUCACCUAAAACCAAGGUGAAAUUCACUAAAUCACAACACAAACAACCACAAUUCCCACUGUUCUUGAAACCUACAAGAACUUAGGUACUCUUGCUGAAAAAAACCUAUUUCAACUCACACACACUUCUUCAAGAAAACCUAUCAAGAAGAGUGUUCAACCAAACUAUUACAAGAAAUGAAAAGUGAAACGACUACAUCUGAUUGAGGAUACAAAGAUCUGCCUUAAAUCAGUAGGCAAGAUUGCUAGAACAGUAGCAGCACCUCACACCNNNNNNNNNNNNNNNNNNNNNNNNNNNNNNNNNNNNNNNNNNNNNNNNNNNNNNNNNNNNNNNNNNNNNNNNNNNNNNNNNNNNNNNNNNNNNNNNNNNNUUGGAACCAAACCAAGAACAAGCACUUUGUGAUUUUUCGAAAUCUUUGAAGAACAAAUGCUAAUCCUUUGUAAACUCUUAAUUCUCUGCUGUCAAACUUGUUUUUUACAAAUGUAUGAACGAUAUUUAAACUCAGAAACAAGUUUUCAUUUUAUAGAAAACCAACUUAUAACAGAAUUUUCAAAAACAGUUAAAGCUGUUAUAAAAUGAACAGAUUGAAAAUAAAAUGAACAGAUUUAUUUUCAAAAGCAGUUAGAGAAUUUGUUAAGUGAGGAGACUUAGUCAACCAUUCUGGUGCAGAGAUAAAACUGAAAAACGUUUAAGCUAGAUAUGGCACCAGAGACAAAAAGAAUCUAUUCAUUUACAUAUGAACAGAUUUAUUUUUCAAAACGAAAAUAGAAAAGCUUAACUUAUUUGAAACACAGUCGUUUUGAAAGAUAGAAGACUUAGUCAGAAUACAUGAUGCACAAAAUCUAAUUUUCACAAGACUUAGCCAAGGCACCAGUGUAAAAAUGAAUCUGUUUAUUUAGAAAAAAAACAGAUUUAUUUUUAUGCAGUGAACGUGUUUUUUGUAAAACAUGUGAAAAACGGUUGAAGAAAACUUAUGCUUGUUCUUAUCACAUGGCCAGUGGUUAUGAGGUGAGUUACUCAGCAAAAAGCCCACUCUUAGACAACCUCUAAGCACUACCUAAGACAUACUUAAAGCAAAGCAAAAUACACAUGAAAUGUACAUAGAAGUCUUCAUCAAACACAAUCUUGAAGGGGCAGCAACCAUCUUCAACAACGACGACAACACUGCUCCGGAAACAUCAAAUGUUGUUUCCGCAACGCAAACCAUUUUUGUGAAACCUUUUCCGGACGUCUCCAAAAUUGAAGUCUUCACCGGUCAGAACUUCCGACGUUGGCAAGAACGCGUGUCCACCCUAUUGGACAUGUACGGAGUUGUUCAUGCACUUACAACUGCCAAACCCGACUCAACCACGGUUGCGAAACAAGUUGACGACUGGAUCCAUGCGAAUAAGGUAUGCCGUCACACUUUACUCAGUGUGUUAUCUAACGAUCUGUUCGAUGUUUNNNNNNNNNNNNNNNNNNNNNNNNNNNNNNNNNNNNNNNNNNNNNNNNNNNNNNNNNNNNNNNNNNNNNNNNNNNNNNNNNNNNNNNNNNNNNNNNNNNNNNNCUGGGAGAUGAUCGAAGGCAAAGACAUCAAAAUCCAAAUAAACGACUAUCACAAGCUGAUUGAAGAUAUCAAAACUGAAAGCAUAAAAUUGCCAGAUGAAUUCAUGUCCGAACUCUUGAUCGAAAAGCUUCCGCAGUCUUGGACGGAUUACAAACAACAACUGAAGCACAGACAGAAACAGAUGUCUCUAUCAGAUUUGAUCACCUACAUCAUCAUUGAAGACACAAACAGGAAGGAGUGCGUUGCUGCAAAGGCCAAAGCUUUGUUUGCCAAAGCAAACGUGAUAGAAGACAAACCAGCUCCAAAAAAGGUACGAGAAAAAAUUUGAUCACAAAAAGAAACCUAAUAACAAAUUCUCUCGUCCCAGUGGAACUAACCCCACUUUNNNNNNNNNNNNNNNNNNNNNNNNNNNNNNNNNNNNNNNNNNNNNNNNNNNNNNNNNNNNNNNNNNNNNNNNNNNNNNNNNNNNNNNNNNNNNNNNNNNNAGGUAAUUGCUUUGUUUGUGGAAAGCCAGGCCAUCAUGCACCUCAGUGCAGAUAUAGGGCUAAAAACGACUAUCCUCCUAAGGCAAAUCUAGCCGAAGGGGAAUAUACUAUUGUGGCAGUCGUUUCACAAGUAAACCUUGUGACAAAUGUGAGCAAAUGGGUGGUAGACUCUGGGGCUACCAGACACAUCUGUGCAAACAUAAAUGUGUUCACCUCCUACACAAGUGUGGGGGAUGGAGAAGAACAAGUAUAUAUCGGUGACUCCAGGACAACUCCUGUCCUAGGAAAAGGAAAAGUUAUUCUGAAGCUCACAUCUGGUAAAACUCUAGCUUUGAAUUAUGUGCUACAUGUGCCAUCAAUUAGAGUUAAUUUGGUCUCUGUGGCAUUACUAAGCAAAGUUGGGGUUAAAGUGUCAUUUGAAUCUGACAAGAUUGUUAUGACAAAAAACAAUGUUUUUGUGGGAAAGGGAUAUUGUGAUCAAGGCCUUUUUGUAUUAAACAUUUCUGAAAUUAUGAAUGAAUCUAUAUCUUCUGCUUAUAUUGUUGACUCGUAUGAUAUAUGGCAUGCUAGAUUAGGACAUGUGAAUUCUUCGUAUGUUAUAAAAUUGCAAUGACUAGGAUUAAUCAACAUGCAUGACAAACAGAGUAGUAAAUGUGAUGUAUGCGUAGAAUCUAAAAUAACGAAGAAAACAUGUCACUUUGUAGAACGUCAAACUGAAAUUCUUGGUUUAAUUCAUACCGACCUUGCUGAUUUAAAACAAACCAUGUCUAGAGGUGGUAAAAAUUAUUUUGUAACCUUUAUAGAUGAUUUUUCUAGAUACACCAAAGUGUAUUUAAUUAAACAUAAGGAUGAAGCUUUCGACAUGUUUUUAACUUAUAAAGCGAAAGUAGAAAAUCAACUUAAUAAGAAAAUUAAGAGAAUUACAUCAGAUAGAGGUGGUGAAUAUGUUUUAUUUAAUGACUAUUGUGUAAAAGAAGGUAUUAUUCAUGAAGUAACCCCACCAUAUUCACCUGAGUCUAAUGGAGUAGCUGAAAGGAAAAAUAGGACUCUUAAAGAAAUGAUGAAUGCCAUGCUUAUUAGUUCUAAUGCUCCUGAUAAUUUAUGGGGUGAAUCUCUGCUUACUGCGUGUUUUUUACAAAAUAGGAUACCACAUAGGAAAACUGGUAAAACACCCUAUGAGUUGUGGAAAGGUUAUCAACCUAAUCUGAAAUACCUAAGAGUGUGGGGGAGUUUAGCUAAAGUGAUGUUACCUGAUCCUAAGAAAAGGAAAAUAGGCUCUAAAACAUCUAAUUGUAUGUUCUUAGGAUAUGCAGAACAUAGUGCUGCCUAUAGGUUUCUAGUUCUUAAUAGUGAUAUAAUUGAACACAACACUAUAGUAGAGACAAAAAACGCUGAGUUCUUUGAACACAUCUUUCCGCUAAAGAGUAGUGGUACAUCUGAACAACCUAUAGAUAGUGUUAGUGAUACCUUGAGUGAGGAUGUUAGAAGAAGUAAAAGACAGAGAAAGGAAACAUCUUUUGGAGAUGACUUUUAUACUUAUCUAGUUGAGAAUGAUCCAAUAAGUUUUGUAGAAGCUACUAGUGCUCAUGAUGCUAAACAUUGGGAUAAGGCCAUUAAAACUGAGCUUGAAUCAAUUAAGAAAAAUAAUACGUGGACCUUAGUAGAUCUCCCUAAAGGAGCAAAACUCAUUGGUUGUAAGUGGAUCUUUAAGAAGAAGUACCAUCCUGAUGGAUCCAUAGAGAAAUAUAAGGCAAGAUUAGUAGCUAAAGGGUUUACCCAAAAACAUAACAUAGAUUACUUUGAUACUUUUGCACCUGUUACUAGGAUUUCCUCUAUCCGUGUAUUGCUAGCCUUAGCAUCUAUCCAUAAGUUAGUAAUUCACCAAAUGGAUGUUAAAACAACCUUUUUGAAUGGUGAAUUAGAAGAGGAAAUUUAUAUGACUCAACCUGAAGGAUGUGUAGUUCCAGGUCAAAAGGAAAAAGUAUGCAAACUUUUAAAAUCUUUGUAUGGUUUGAAACAAGCACCAAAACAAUGGCAUGAAAAACUUGAUAAUGUUUUACUUUGUGAAGGUUUUUCUACCAAUGAUGCUGAUAAAUGUGUGUACUCUAGAUCUGAAAAUGGUGAAUAUGUCAUUAUAUGUUUGUAUGUGGAUGACAUGCUAAUUUUUGGUACAUGCAAUGAUAUAGUUUUUCAAACAAAAUUGUUUCUUGGAUCUAAGUUUGAGAUGAAAGACAUGGGUGAAGCAAGUGUGAUUCUAGGAGUUAAAAUCAUAAGGAAGGGAGAUAGUAUAUUACUAUCCCAAGAAAAAUACACUGAGAAACUUCUAAAGAAGUUUGGUUACUAUGACUUUAAGUCAGUGAGUACCCCUUAUGAUGCUAACUCUAAAUUAAAGAAGAACAGAGGAGAAUUUAUUUCUCAAACUCAAUAUGCCCAGAUAAUUGGGAGCUUAUUGCAUUUAAUGAGCUUUUCUAGACCAGAUAUUUCUUAUGCAGUAGGUAGAUUGAGUAGAUACACUCAAUGUCCUAGUUAGGAUCAUUGGGAAGCACUUGCGAGACUCAUGAAAUACUUGAGAGGUACAAUGGAUUAUGCCAUUGAAUAUAGUGGAUUUCCCGCUGUGCUAGAAGGGUACAGUGAUGCUAACUGGAUCUCUGAUUCAGAUGAGACAAAAUCCACUAGUGGUUAUGUAUUUACACUUGGGGUGGUGCAGUUACAUGGAGAUCAGCCAGGCAAACUAUUAUUGCAAGAUCAACAAUGGAAUCUGAGUUUGUUGCUCUAGAAAUGGCUGGUACUGAAGCUGAGUGGUUGAAAAACUUCUUAGCAAACAUUCCUUUAGGAAUGAAACCAACCCCAUCUGUAUCAAUGCAUUGUGAUUGCCAAUCGGCAAUAGCUAUAGCUAAAAUUAAAAGCUACAAUGGAAAGAAUAGACAUAUACAAUUGAGACAUAAUUUGGUGAAACAGUUGUUAAAGAGUGGAACGAUUUCUAUUGACUAUGUCAAGUCAGAAUGGAAUCUGGCAGAUCCUCUGACAAAACCCCUAGGGAGAAAAAUGAUUUUAGAAACAUCUAGGGGAAUGGGUCUUAAGCCACUUGCAAACAAACAAGUGAUGGAAACCCAACCUUUGUGAUUGGAGAUCCCAUGAAUAAGGUUCGUAUGGGUAAAAACAAGUCACUUGUUAGUUCUGCUAGCACAGAUAUUGAUUUAAAAUCAAUUUUGUCCAUUCCUAUGGUGUGUGUGAAAGUGCUAGUUACUGCAUUAUCGAGAGGAUAAACUUUGUGGUUAAAAUUCAGAGGUAAAAGAGUUUUAACGAUUUACAAAGUUUUAAUGAUUUUCAUAUCCCUUAUGGGUGGUGUAUGAUUUGCAGCAUAUACUUGAUGAAAUCACCUAUAUAAGUGUCAAGUGGGGCCGCUUGCAUGAGAUCUUGGCAAGAUUUCUAUAGCACUCAUGAAUACCGGGCACGCGCAUGGCCUAGUAGCGCAACACAGCGAUAACAACAAGUAAUGUGGGGGUGUAUUGUGAUUGAUAAACCUCUAACACAGACUAAGUGUCUUGGUUCAUAUAGCUUGCUAUACCAACUACACUAUGUGUUAAGUUCAUCAAUCUAAGACUGGUUCAUAUAGCUUGCUAUACCAGUUCUGAUGCAUUACACCUUAGAUGAACCCAAUUUUUUUUCUUCUUCUUAUCUCUAUGUUUUAUCUUUUGCAAUAUGUGGGGGAUUGUUGUAAAAACAGAGCAUGUAUUGCAAAAUAAAGUGCAGAAACAGAAAUAGAGGAUGCGCAGAAAAACCCUAACUUCUUCAUAGUGCCGUUGGAGGAAAUCUCGGAAGCAUGGGUGAAAUGGAGACAGUUUCCAAGUUGAAAAUCAAACGUUGCCCUUUCAACCUUGGAUCGUGGCCGCACGAAUCGGAAGUUGGGCGCCUCCGCACUGCUGGAUUUUUGAACGUUGUAGAUCGUUACGAGAGGAGUGGGAGGUUGACUCCUUCCUUCACGCUGGUCUUCCCUCUUCUGCGGCGACAACCUUGAACCCA